rnacentral:rRNA from 1 species
UACGUAGGGGGCCAGCGUUGUCCGAAGUUACUGGGCGUAAAGAGCGCGUAGGCGGGUUUUAAGUGAGAGGUGAAAGGUUCAGGGCUCAACCCGAACACUGCCUUUAAAACUGCAUCGCUAGAAUUGUGGAGAGGUAAGUGGAAUUCCGAGUGUAGAGGUGAAAUUCGUAGAUAUUCGGAAGAACACCAGUGGCGAAGGCGACUUACUGGACACAUAUUGACGCUGAGGUGCGAAAGCGUGGGGAGCAAACAGGG